AUAUAUACUUCAAGCUAUCUGAAUCCCAGACUGCGGUUGAUACAAAACAAUUUUUUUUAAAUUUGCAAUUGGGACAACAAGGCUGUGGCUUAAAAUCCUUCUUAUUAUUUUGUGCCCUGGCUGGAAAGAGCGCGAUCCGGCAAUUGUCCUUUUUACGUGAUGUGAACACAGUGCGGGGGUAGUGCUCAUUUACGGAACAUUGCACAAAAAUCUUUUAAAAGGACGACUUGCAUUGAGUGAGCAGCUGUUUUGAUACCGGAUGUUUUUCUCAAAAGAGGCUGGUGAACACAAUGACAUGGCAUGAAUCAUUUUAGAGAGUGGUAACUACAAGAGGGCACUUCGUUGAGUUCACCUUCAUUGACUACAUCUUCAUCGCAUUAAUACUCACUAACAAGACACCUUUUGACUACGUUGCGUACACUUGUAUACAAAUUGUCUAUGCAGAGAGAUGACUCUCCACAAAUCGUCUCUACUUUCGCUCCUGUGUUUCCUGAUCUUGUUCAAAGUAGCCGUUUCAAUUGCUGUUUUCGGGCAUCGGGAUGGCUCAGAUGCAUCAAAGAAGCAAGACGUCGUCGCCCUGCGCCGAAUAAUCAAAGUUCUGUGUAUCCAGUUCCCAGAAAGGUGCACGGAAGUUGACACUGAAGAGUUACUGUUGCGGAGAGAACAACUGCACAAGGCACUGCUUCUACUGAGCAAAGCAUUGAUCAUAGGAAAGAAGAA